AUCUAUCAACCCCCCUAUUUUGUAAUGAGAUAGGCUUAGUGGGCUUGGAUUAUGGCUGUCUGCUGGCUUUUAAAAGUCGGCUCAGCUGAAAUACACGAGUUACCCUUGCUAUUCAUAACCUUUGAACGGCUUGACUCGGCGUAAUAAUUAUUUCGCUGAGGACGUUUAAAAAUGUUGCAAUAGUUUAUAGUGGUGCUCCUAAUGCCAUUACAAUCUAGU
rnacentral:misc_RNA from 1 species